rnacentral:rRNA from 1 species
UUUAGAGUUUGAUCCAUGGCUCAGAGCGAACGCUGGCGGCGUGCUUAACACAUGCAAGUCGAGUGCGCAGUCUCCUGUAGCAAUACAGGAGAUGGGCGCACGGCGCACGGGUGCGUAACACGUGGGUAACCUGCCCUCUGAUGGGGAAUAACCCCGCGAAAGCGGGGCUAAUACCGCAUAAGAUUCCGGGGACUUCGGUUCCUGGACUGAAAGCUCGCAAGGGUGUCGGAGGAGGGGCUCGCGGCCGAUUAGCUAGUUGGUAGGGUAACGGCCUACCAAGGCGAUGAUCGGUAGGCGGUCUGAGAGGAUGGCCGGCCACACUGGAACUGAGACACGGUCCAGACUCCUACGGGAGGCAGCAGUGGGGAAUCUUGCGCAAUGGGCGAAAGCCUGACGCAGCGACGCCGCGUGGGGGAUGAAGCCCUUCGGGGUGUAAACCCCUUUCGACCCGGACGAAACUCCGCCGCAAGGCGGACCUGACGUACGGUAGAAGAGCCCCGCA